UCCCUUGAUGGCUCGGAGCGCGGACUAUGAGCGGCUCAAAUAUCUUCGGCCAGAGCGCUUUGUUUCAGAGAGGCUCUGCAAAUGCUUGUGGCAGCUUCGGCUGGAGAGGUGCGGACGUGGGAACGGUGGGCGGAGGCAGAGGGAAAGCAGAAGGGUUUGCUGGCAGUUCUGGUUUACACCAGCUUAAACUGCCAUGAAACAUCAGCGUCACGUUCACCUUAUGAAACUCUACAGAUAAAGCCAGCAACAGGGCAGGGAAUUGAACCAAGGUCUUCCCAGUUUGAGGCAAAACCCUUAGGCACUGUAAUGGCUCUUACUCACGCACAAGCAUCCCACCAAAGGUGACAAUCUCGAUGGUGCACCUCGAACGCGGAUCGGCGAGGUCCUGCUGAGGGUCGUGGUGCCGCGCUGCGUUGCGCCCCGAGCGCCUGACCCAAGGAGACAACUCACAUGACUGAAAUAAGCAGGAUUUGUUUCAAAGGAUUUGCUCAUUGUGGAGCAAUUGUCAGGAUGUAAAGUCUGAAUUUCCUUAUAGAGUGAGUCGACUAUUAUUAGAAGCAAAGCUAAUAUUUUAGAGGUGGUCUCCUUGAAUAUGCAAUGAUAGUCCAGUGAGUUAUAUACCAAGGAGGCAGAGUUCAGGAUAGCAAAUUGCUUUUAAGUUCAGUCAUUUGAAAUAUCAGAGAUGAUAGUUUUGCUUCUAAAACUUCUUGAGUGUGAGCAAGAAUCACCUUGCCCACCCACACUCACUAAAUAUUUAGUCAUUUUUAACAAGUUAAACAAAGCCCUUUGAUUGGAUUUAUGCUAAUGGCUCUUCUGUAGGCAUUUCUGUUUCAUUUACAUUUCAUUUUAAAAUUGCCUGUGUACAUUGCUGAUUCUCACUAACACCAUUAGCAGAUAAAAGGAACAAGUAACAGGUCACAGACGCCACAAGAUGGCAAUAGUUGAAGAGCAAUUUGCUUCAGGAAGAGGAGCUCUGCCUUCUCCAGCAAACCUGCGCUGUCUUUCAAAGGGCACCACACUCUGUGUGCAUUAACCUUAGCACUUACACAGCAUUUUUCAUCGGACGAGUGCAAAGCAAUUGCUGUGUGUGGGGGUUCAUUCUUCCUAUCACAGAUGGGGAUGGAGGACAGAGAAGAUGUGAGAGUUACCCAAGGUCGCCUGGCGCAGGAGUAGCAGGGCGUCCUGCCUCCUGUUUUUGUGGCUCCUUCAGCAAAGCCUGCUGCCCAGCCUGUGAGAAACGUGGGCAACUUUCACCAUAAUACACAUGGGACCCCUCCCACCCUACAGAUUACUACUGCGGCAAAGUACCAUCAGAGUCUCAGUCCGACAUAUGUGCAUAAAUGUUGGGCCUUCCUUGAGAACCGCUGGCUCAACCUCCUGGGCAGGAGGCCGCCGACACAUUGCGGUAGACACAUUGCCACAACUUCUCCUAUGCAGGCUACAAACACCUGACAGAGGGAGUCAAGAGACAAUGUCUAACCCUCUGCAGAGCCUCCAGACCCAACACAGAGUUCCACCACCUUUGUAUUCGCAUAGCAAGCCCAGAAGCACAAGUUAAUGUAUUAUUCCAGGCAAUGAAAAGAGAAAAGGACUGCAGGAACAUUUUGCAACGGAGUGUCUCUCUGACCUCGUGAUAGAGCUAAAACCCUGGUCAGGGUUGGCCACUGCCUCAUUACUGUUAAAAUAAUGUUAGAUCCUGCAUGAUCUACAAAUUGCAAUGAUAGGGCAGGCAGUGCCCCGACCCAGAGAUGCUGACUGCCUUUCUGCUCCCCAGAACGGAUGUGCCCACAGGGUGAAGCACUGUGAUGGGCAAUGAAGAGCUCAGAGUUGGUCUUGCGUGAUGAGAGGGCCGUCCUGAAGUGGGAUGGAGGAGAUGCCUGGGAGUCAGCAGUGAAGUCCUCCAGAUCUCAUUUGUUCAUAUUGUUUUUCUCUAAGGAGCUCCAGUCAUACCCAGGGCUGGAUCUAACCUGAGAGGUGAAUCCACCAGCAGGUGCUGUGAGCUGGGCACAAAACAUGUCAUGCUUUUGUAUCCCUGGAAAGCGCUGCGAAGGUCCUCCAGCACGGUGGUGGCCAAAGCACUGCUGAAUGGCAAAGCUUUGGGCUGAGAUUUCUGCAACAUCUUCCUCAAAAUGAAGUUCCUCGGUAUCUAGGGCCGUCAUAUUUCCUGUGUAUGACUUGUUUGAUUUUUCUGACUAGCAUGAAGAGAAACGCAAUGGUUUUACUCAGAGUAGGAAGGGCAUAAACCCUGGCCAUAAACCCUGGACUUUCCCCCUGCAUGGAACGAACAGAGUUAUCAGCAGCUCUCCCAAAGCAUUCCCAGCUACAAGGGAUUUUCUUCUGGAGAUAAAGUCCACCUCUAUUCAGAAAGGUGAGUGCUGGCUUGUGUGAAAAACCCGGACGAAAGGUCUCUCCAGGGGUGGGGUGCAGCACAGUGACCCACUCCCCUUCUCUUCUUGUGGCACACCACAGCGUGUCUGUCCCAGUGACCCAUGGCUGGCUGAACGGUGGCUUCUUGCAGGUAUCUUGCGAAUAGCAGCAUCUCCUGCUCAUCUGGAAGAUAGAGGUGUCAGUUCCUAGGGGGAGUGAAAGGUCUUAUCACCCUGCUCCCUGCUCCUCCUCUGCACUGGCAGGUCCAUCACAGCGAGCAGGAGAGAAGGUCGCAUCAGAGAAGGUAACAAAGAGAAAAAGGGAGAAGCAAGGUGGCAGGAAGCAGGUGUGAUGAGGAAGAAAGUCCUCAUUGCCUGGCUCCUGCCGAUGGCCGGAUUGAGACUCUAGGGGAUAAAACCCUGCCAGGUUUUUAAUGGUCUCGGGGAGCCUGCAUUUGGUUGCUGUGGCUAUGGGCGGCAACACGAGCUGUGGCCGAGCCAGAAGUCUUGCAGCUUCAACCACUAGGUAAGCCUGCUUCCCUGAGGGACUUGGAGACAUUAAAUGAAAGAUCUGGGGUGAUCGAUCACACUCAAUAAAGGGCAACGAAGGAACUGCACUGCAGCUCAUUACUGUAAUAAAUGUUAAAUGCAAAAUCUAUGUUAAUGCACUAGAGUUUUGCACGCUUUAUGGUCUCCAGAUUAUGAAGUCAGGAAGGUGGUACCCUUACUGACAGAGGAGCCAGGAAAUGAAAAAGUUCUUGCAGAAACACUAACUUGCCCAAACUACCUCCCCCUGCUGGACAACGUGCCUGCCCGUUACCACAUAGCAGCUACUGGCUCUGGGGAUCAGUCGCGGCAGAUGCAGGAGCACCUCCGCCACGGUGAAGACAGGAAAGGUGGUUUCAUCAAAUCAAUACUGAGGCCGUGAAAGGCAACAUCUUUAACCCUCACAACAAGCUGCAGUGUGGUCCCACACUGCCCAGGAGCCCACAGGAGGUUGUCUAAAUUUUAGGAAGACAAAUGCUCUUUCUAACUGAGAAGCACACCCCGUCCCCUGGAAGGAGAGAGCAGCUCCCAAAUCUAGCCUCAGACCCACAAAGCCGCAUGGGCAAAUUCUGCUCACAAGCAUCAAGUGGGUAAAAACGAUUUUCCUAGCGCCCUGGGGUUCUUUGAAUUUCAGACUAGGCAUUCAGGCCUCUGGAGCUGGGGGGAGGGUGAUAGUCAUUGUUUUAAACACAUUGUGCAAAGACAAAUGUGGAUUGAAGGCUGUACUUUAUUCCCUACGGGGGGCCAGAUUAAAAAAUGAACCUUUCAAAGCGUUCUGCUGAAUAGGAAAAAACAGGCUCCAAAGUACCUGCUGGAGAACAGCUGGGAGAAGCCUCUGAUGGACAAAAUAUGGAUACUAGGGACCGUCCAACCGCCAUGGGCAGAAAGCAAGCCUGGCUCAUGCCAGAUCCGGAAGGCAUUUGUGGAUAUAGCUGUGCUGCCCUCUGAUCUCCCAAUGGUGUUGGCUCCAAAACAGCAGGCGGGAUUUCAGGGGAAGAAAGAUAUCUAACACCUUGUGUGGCCAGCUGACACUGCCAGCGUCCCACAUGGCAAUGUAUAUUGCAGAGAGAUGCCGUUGUGUCUGGUUUGUCUCUGAAAACAUGCAAGUUCAUAUGGGAAUCAUAUGCUGGCACCUCAGCUUCCAGCCCUGCUUUUCUCCUCGAAAACAGAGCCAGGAGACAGCACGCGGCUGCAGAUUUCAUCUCUUAAGAAAGAAAGAGUAAAGCUUCUGCUGGGGACGUGGCCAUCUUCUUAUGGAGCAAGGUGUGCAAGGGCUAUAAAGUCGCACUCAGCAUGGGGGACUUUGGCCACUGGGGCAAUAAGAAAGGUGAAGAUGGACACAAGUGACUCAAGGAAGAGGGGAUGAGCCGCGGUGGCCUCAGCAGUUUCCUGAGCAGCUUGUGGGUGGGAAGGGGAUGGGUUUUCUUGGAAACGUGGAGGGAGAAGGAGAUCCGGCGCCCUGCAGCCUGGGCCUGAAAGGUGAGAGUCUGUGUUAACACCUUCAAUAAAAUCCCAAAAAAGAGCUGGGAGACCAGCAGGCUGAACGGGACAAAGCUGGAGGAGACAGACCAACUUAACAAGGAUAAAUAGGUGGUUCCUGACGUAACGCAGACUGCAGUCUCCUUCUGCUCCCUCUGCCAGCUCCCCUCCGCUGGGCCCAUCCUCAUGGGGCUGCUGGGAUCCAGGGUGCUCGCUGCCCUGGUGUCAGGGUGCUCUGUCCUCGGGGAGCCGGCAACACGUCCUGCAAAGCCAUUGGUGGCUGCUCAGGGCUUGCACCCUCCAGGGCCGCCCUCCACCCAUCACUGGUGUCUUCAGAUAUGCAGAUCCAAAGGACAGGUCUUCGAAAAAAAGAUAAAACCCCAACAGCCCCAUUUCUGGUAGCAGUAGAGGUGUUGGUGGUGUGUAAAUGAGAGCGGGGGUGUGACCCGGCACCCUCCUCCCUUCCGGUUCUCACCCGCUUCUCUCCCUGCUUUCCUUUCAUUUAUAUAAUAAGACGCUCUUGCAGAUGCCAUAAACCUGUGGCUUUCCCCAAGGACGUGCAUGUCUAUUUUGGUAUAGGCCACUUCUGUGGGGACUGACGAAGCCCGGAGCUGCCUUCUCCUCGUUCAUUCCGCUCUACUUGGCAGAAGCGAUCGCUCCAUGGGCCAGGCACCGCAGAGGCUAUGGCACAGGCACUCGGCGCAGCCCUGAGUGCUGCAUUUCCUGUGAGAGGUGGACUGUGUGAACAGCAUGUGGAGUCUCCAUGGUUAGAGGUUAUUCAAAACCGUCUGUCAGGAAAGGUCUUUGCUCAGCUAAUCCUGAACCAAGGAUGCUUUCUAGUCCUGUGUGCUUGAUGAACAUUUUGCUUCACCUGCUCCACCAUCGCUGUCUAUGCGUUGUCCAGAAGUGCCUGCCUCUGGCCAACCUUGGAACCAAAAUAUAUUUGAAACAUA